AUACAUAGGAUGUGCCAGUCUAUCCGGUAUCAUUGAGCACCGACUCAAUGAUCCUAUGACUGAAAAGAUUUUAGAUUAGGGUUUUAGAGUUUUAAGUCUCGCUGACAUAAUUUAAUUAUCAUCCUAAAACCAUUGUCCUAACCUAUGGGGUUCAUCAUAAUUUUAAUCAAUGCACAGCAUAUGAUGAAAUAAAAUAUCUUAAUUUUAUUCAUAAUAAAAUAUAUCAAUUACAU
rnacentral:lncRNA from 1 species